GUUAUUUAAAGUUAAAAUAUUUAGCAUUUAUAAAUUAAGUUCAAAGUUAUCUUGGCAUGACUCAUUAGGAGGUGUUUGAUCACCCUCCUCCUUGCCCCUCCCGACACCAAUACCCCAUCUCCUUCUACUCUUCUAUUGGGACACUUAACAUUUUCUCUUCCUUCUGUAAAGUGUUAUACUAAUACUGUUUCAAACCCCCUUCCUCCUUCCAAUCAGAUUACCAUGCAGCCUAACUCCUUUCUGAAAAUUAAAUCAAAUAUCCUCUUGUUAAACAGAGCAUUUAUAUAUUUUUGACACAUACCACAUACUUGCUUACUAAUUGGCUAAGGGGAUGUUCAUUCACAUAAAAUCUAUGCUCACCAUUAUCUUGAGUGGAAACACUCUUCAAAAAGUAAUUAAAUUAGAAAGAUGGAAGAUGAUCAUGUGAUGCCUUUCAAACUCCCUUCCUUUCCUAGAUGACUAAGGCUGGGUAGACAGGGAUUCCUGGUAUGUUGAAGUUGGUGACUGUGUUCAAGGAGUAAAAUAGGUCCUAGACUGUCAUCCUAGUGGAAGAUAUAGGACUACCAUAGAUAAUGUACCUGGAUCAAAGAAUAUCCCUGAAAUAGGAAUUCUGGAGCUACCUAUAUGUCCCAAGCAGUUGAUUUAUGCUUUUUAUCUCUUUCAGUGUCCUUGUUCUGAUCGGCUCAUUGUAACUGUUGUUCAUCCAAAGUGAUCAAUUUGGUCACUUGAGGUCAUCACGGUACCUGGAAUGGUUAAUCUUGGUAGGCAGAGUGUCUUUGAAUGUCUUCUACACCCAGACCUGGGUACAAGGAUCCAAAAGUUUCUAUGGCAAGAUAGAAGCAGAGGUUGGGGUGGAGGGAAUGUUGCUUCCUUUAAAGAUCUGGGGUUCUGUGAUGCCAGAAACACCCCUCUGGUUUUAUGGAUUCUGCCUUUUAAAGAGACGGCAUCUAAGUUCCCACCACGAGCUAGCUCCUCUCUUCAAACUGAGGUGCCAAUCAGGAUGUGCAAUCGUACCCAUGAUCAGAGGUCUCUGAGAUACUGUACUUUCCAAAAAACUAUACUCUCCUGCCUCUAAAUAUAUGUCGGAGGGAGCACAUCGAAUGAGAACUCUGGAGUUGGCCAUCCUGCAUGAUAGUCUACACCUUCACCCAUAGAUUUAAUUUGCCUUGGAUGAAUGACAACAGGAAGAAAGAAGUGAGACCUACUCCGUGACAGGAUAAGGUCAUAUCAGCACGAGAAAAUUUAGGUCUAAAUGAGACAUAAAGUUUAUUUAUUUUACUCUUUUGGCUAGACAUUAUAUUUAUAAAAAAGUUCAUAAAUACAUGUUUAGGAUUUAUGUAUCAGAAUGCCUGCACAUAAUCAGUUGAGCUAAUGUAUACUAUUUUUGAUGGUUUAUUAGCACUUAUAUUUUAAUCAUACAUGUAUAUUUUCUUGUCUAUUUAAAUUUCAUCCAUUCAUUGAUUUCUUACUCUACUUCUUGGUCCUCUGCACUAGUUUUUACAUUGGUGAAGUUUACUUUGUUUUGUUUAGUAACAUAACAACUGAGAAAAUGGCUUUUGAGAAAGAAAGUCUAAAUUCCAACCCUGUCUCCACUACUUAUUAACUCUGUGAUCUGAGAUAAAUUAUUUAAUAUCUCUGAAUCUGAGUUCUUACCUCUUUAGAAUACCUAUAAUAAUAAAACUCAUGCUUCUCAGAGCCAUUGUGAAUAUUAAAUUGUGUAGUGCAUACAACUAUGCUUAGUACACAGUGACUGGUCGAUACAUUAGCUUUCACUAGAAAUACUGAUAUUUAUGUAAUUGUUUAUUAUCAUUAUUGCCAUUUUACAGUAAUAGUAUUCUUGUUAGGAAUUUAUUGAGAAAAGUUUCAUUCAUAUACUCAUGCCACAAACAUUUCUUGAGUGUCAUACAGUAAUGCCAGGCAUGAAUUUAGAUAUUUUUCUAGACAGUUUAAUGAAAUAAACAAAAAGAUGUCCAACACUUGUCCAAGAUGGUACUUGUCAUAAGUGCCAAAUGAAAAUAAAACAUGAUAUGAUAGAGUGCCCAUGGAACUUCUCAAUGUUGCAUAGUCUUAAAGUCUUCUUUAAUGCCGAUGUUUAAUCUGGACUUAGCAUCACAAACCAGCUACAUAAAGAUAUGGAUAUUGUGCACCACAGGCAAGGCUAGGAGGCAAUGAGAAAGGUCCUUGCCCUGGAUUUAUAAUGAUAACGAUAACAGUAAAAAAUAAUAGUAAUAAUUACAGUUAGCAUGUAUUGAACAAUUACUCUGUGACUGUUACCUUGAACUCAUUUAAUCCUCACAACAAAUCCUAUAAUAUCAGAACUAUAAUUUUAUAGAUAAAGAAA